rnacentral:rRNA from 1 species
GAUGAACGCUGGCGGCGUGCUUAACACAUGCAAGUCGAACGGAAAGGCCACAGCUUGCUGUGGUCCUCGAGUGGCGAACGGGUGAGUAACACGUGGGUGAUCUGCCCUGUACUUCGGGAUAAGCUUGGGAAACUGGGUCUAAUACCGGAGAGGAAUCGCACGUGGGUGUGUGGGUGGAAAGCUUUUGCGGUAUGGGAUGAGCUCGCGGCCUAUCAGCUUGUUGGUGGGGUACUGGCCUACCAAGGCGUCGCCGGGUAGCCGGCCUGAGAGGGUGUACGGCCACAAUGGGAGUGCGAUGCGGCCCGGACGCAUACGGGAGGCAGGAGUGGGGAAUAUUGCGCGAUGGGCGCAAGCCUGAUGCAGCGACGCCGCGUGCGGGAUGACGGCCGUCGGGUUGUACACUGCUUUCGUCCGGGAUGAAGCGAAAGUGACGGUGCCUGGAGAAGAAGCACCGGCUAACUAUGUG